UACGGAGGGUGCGAGCGUUGUCCGGAAUUACUGGGCGUAAAGCGUGCGCAGGCGGUUUCGUAAGUCUGUCGUGAAAUCCCCGGGCUUAACCUGGGAAUGGCGAUGGAGACUGCGAGGCUAGAGUUUGGCAGAGGGGGGUAGAGUUCCACGUGUAGCAGUGAAAUGCGUAGAGAUGUGGAGGAACACCGAUGGCGAAGGCAGCCCCCUGGGUCAAAACUGACGCUCAUGCACGAAAGCGUGGGGAGCAAACAGG
rnacentral:rRNA from 1 species